rnacentral:rRNA from 1 species
GCAUUUUGGGCAAUGACGGAACCUGAUCCAACCAUGCCCCGUGUUGCAGACGACCUGGGAUCGUCAAGCACGUGUAAGUACGGCCGAAUGGCUCUUAGUUUAAUUCUGAUGAAUUAUGAACGAUUUCAUCAGAACUGACGCACCGCCUACUUUCUAGUCUAGCAGCAGCGAUAAUCAGAAUGAUGCAUGCGCUAAUCGCAAUUAGCUGGGCGUGAAGCGCGCGUAGGUGGCUUGUUAAGUGCGAUGUGUAAUCCCCGCGCUCAUCAUCUGAACUGCAUCCAAAACUAUCCGGGUAGAGUGCGUCGAGGGUAGUGGGAUAUCUUGUGUAGCGCUGAAAUGGGUAGAUAUUGGAAGGAACGACAGUGGGGAAGGCGAGUUCCUGGUCUGACACUGACACUGAGGUGCGAAAGCGUGGGGAGCAAACAGGAUGAGAUACCCUCGUAGUCCUCCCCUUCAACGGUUUCAUCUAGUCGUUCGGGGGUCUUUGGGGUCUUGGUGUCGCAGCUAACGCCUUAAGUUCUCCGCCUGGGGAGUACGGUGGCAAGGUUGAUACUCAUAUGAAUAGACGGGGGCCCGCACAAGCGGUGGAGUAUGUGGUUUAAUUCGAUGCAACGCGAAGAACCUUACCUGUUCUUGCCAUGCUUGGAUCUUUCCAGAGAUGGUUUGGUUCGUUCGGGAACUUUGAGACAGGGGUUGCAUGGCUGUGGUCAGUUCGUGUCGUGAGAUGUUGGGUUAAGUCCCGUAACGAGCGCCACCCUUGUCGUUUGUUGUCAGUCCGUGAUGGUGGGCACUUUAAGGAGACUGCCGGUGUCAAGCGGGAGGAAGGGGGGGAUGUCGUCAAGUCUUCAUGGCCUUUUCGUCCAGGGGUACACACGUGUUUCAUUGGUCGGUACGGAGGGUUGCCAGGCGGGGGGGGUGACUUUAUCCCAUAAACCCUAUCUUAGUCCGGAUUGCAGUUUGCAUCUCGAGUGCGUGAAGUGUGAAUCGUUUGUAAUCGUGUAUCAGCAUUGUCGCGGUGAAUUCGUUCCGGGGCCUUGUCCCCCUCCCCCGUCACUCCCCGUGUGUGGUUUUUUGCCAGAGUCGGUAUUUUAACCCUUUCGGGGAGGGUGCGUUUACCUUUGUUUUCGUGGGG